CUCGACUGAGUCGCUGUGCACAAGUCGUCUCUCGGUGCAUGGCCGGGGCCUGUGUGAACCCCAGUUCCGGGCACAGCCUGAGGCCUCAGUGAACAGGACCAGAGUCGGUCUAAGGUUCAAGCCAAAGAAACCAGUUUUGGGGCGCUGGGCUGAGCGGUGUUCAGUUCGGCCUGCUCCCAGGCAGCGAGUGGGACGGCGCCCGAGGUGCCUGAUCCCUGCAGGGAACCUGGCGGCUGCCGAUGCCCAGGAGUAGCGUGGUGGGCUUGGCUAGGGGGCCAUGGCCCUGGGGUCUCCUCAGGAGCUGAGCUCUCGGCGAGCCCAGGCCCCGCGGCCUGUGCUAGAGAGCCCGGGGCGGCUGGGCCCGAGCCACACACACGCAGGGGUGAGCUGAGUCCGCUGCACUGCGGCCUCCUGUCGCUAGGCGCCGCUGCGCCCCCUGCCGGUGCCGGCGGGCAGCUGGGGCAGCUCCGCUCAGCUUGCUGGGGCCUGGCUGGGCCCCUCGGCCUGGCUGAGGGAGGCAGGGCCGCAGCGGCUGCUCCCCACGCCCAGAGCCGCCCGGGGACCCAGACUGGUGAACUUCUCUGCUCUCAAUCUCCAAGGUUGGUAGCCUCUGAAUUUGAUCGGCAAGCUCACCCCUCAAACCUUCUGAAAUGAAAAGGCUGCACAGCAGGAUCAGAAAAGCACUUCAAAGAAAAGCAUUUUGCAUACAAAUGAAGAGGCUUCGUGGAAAACGAAGACAGGGUCUACGUUACUGAGCCUUACAAUAUGCUACUUUCCUUGGUUUUAAAGAUGCUAAGGGAAUCCUUUCAAGGAAAAGGGAAACCUGGAGGCCCGUGGUAAAGGUCCAAAUCAGCAGCAGAUAUUUUUGGUGAUUAAGAACACUGCCAUUUGGUUUCCGCAGAGUCCAAACAUAUUCCACAGAAGACAUCUGAAUGGCUGGAUAGAACAAUGAAGGCACCACAUUGCUGACUGCGCCAGGAGCCAGUUCUUCCUGAUACAUCCGCCUUAGCAGGCUCUCUAGGGAUGGACCGGCACAGAGACACAGCAUUGUCAAAGCUUCAGCACAACCUGCUGCACCAGAACAGCAGAUAUGAAGCCCCUGCCCCCAAGGAAAGCUGAGGGAUGAACCAUUUAAAAAAUAAAAUAAAAUAUUGCCACCCGCUCAUAUCCGGCACAGCAGGCAGCUAGCGUCUCCAUGACCAGUCGCCAUCACCUUCACAGCACAGCAUGGAGCAUCAUGCUGCUGGCUGAAGGAUAGACCAUCUAGGUGUCCAGUUUCUUGAAAGCAGCUCUCUGCUACUGAACAGAAGGGGAUUGGCUUUCCCAGCCCUGCACAUCUCUAUUGCCUGAUCUAACCAUCCCCAUGGCACUCCAGUCUCUGACUGGUGAAGCCACAGAGUGUAGGUCAUACAUCACAGUAGAUAUAGCUGUUAUCUUGGGCUAGAAAUGCAGAAACAAAGAGCCAGUACACCAGGAUAGCAGACUUCAUUACAGUCUGCUGUGCUGGAGGCACCAAAGCAGAUACUGAAAAGUGAGAAGAACACAGAAAAUUAGGAGAGCCAGGCCAAGAUUUUCAAAAGUGUCAAGUACCCAACGCGAGGCACCUGCCCUCUGAAAAUAAGGUCCCUUUAAGGCAUCUCAAUUUAGGCACCCAAAAUCCUGAGUCACUUUUGAAAACCUUGGCCCUUGUAAACAUUUCUAACUUUUUACAUGAAAAACAGUUACGAUUUGCCUUUAGUUAAAAAUGAUCUAAAUAAUUCUAGUUCUUUUUAAAACUGGGUUAAAAAGGCUAAUAUGAUUGUGAUGCUGUAUGGAAUAUGGGAGACACUUUAUAAUAUUGUUGAUACCAAUAUUAUAAAAGUGCAAUGAAUCUUACCAGGUAUACCAUGUAAGGUAUCAUUGGAAAAGUUAUAAUUCACUAGAUACGGUAAUCUUGUUUGUAUCACCUUUGAAUUGUAAGUUAUAGAUAUGUAGGGUAUUAUCUAUAUUUCCAAACUUGUGCUGUGCAUCUGGGUGACACCCCUAGACAGAUUGGCAUCAGCACUGCCCAGCCUGCUUGAUGGCUCAUCAAGGGACAUCAACUGUACACUGAACUCACUGAAAGGGUCAGGGGCUACGUCUUAUGACUCAGCAAGGCAUGCAGAGGCAUGCUUAUAGACAGACCUCUAAGGCAUCCAGGCCAUGUGCUGGGCAGCUUGUGUUUGAAACCAAAGAAAUACAAGCUGCAUGGCAAAAGACUGUAAAAGGGAGCUGCAUCUUCUCUAUUUUGUCUUCAUUCCUGCUUCUUACCUCUGGAGUAACUGUUCUACAAACUGCAGCUCUGAACAAAAGACUGAAUGACCCAUCCAAGCUGUGGACGUAUUCCAGAGGGACUUUCAAGCCAGCAAACUCACCAACACUGCUAAGAACCUGAUAUGUGGAUUUUGAAGCCUUUGUUUUUAUGUAACUGCUUUACCAUUUAACAACUCUUCUUGUCCUUUCUUUUUUCUUUAUAAUAAACCUUUAGUGUUAGAUGCUAAAGGAUUGGCUGGCAGCGUGGGAUUUUGGGUAAGAUCCAACCUAGUACUGACCUGGCAAUGUGGCUGGUCCUUUGGGGUCAGGAGAACAUUUUGUAAAGUGAGCAGAAUUUUUAAAAUAACUUCUCACCUUACUGCACCUAGGUGCCGAUUGGGAGUCUGAAACUGGAAUGCACUAAGAGGGCUGUGUGAUUACCAGCUUCUUAGUAACCAGGGUGGGGAUCAGAAGCACAGUUUGGAGAGUAUAACUUCAGUGUUACCCAACAGUCUUGGGAGUAUCUGCUCUCCUUUUCGCAACCUGCCCUGACCUUGGCAUUUCCAGUGAGGGCUACACUAGGCACCUCGGGUCACAAUGAUUAUUAAGGUUAUGAGUUGGUCACAGAAGUCCGGGAUUCCGUGAUUUUACAUGUCCUCCAUGACUUCUGCACUGGGGGGGAGAGGAAGGGGCCUCCCACUAGGAGCCCUGGCUGGGAGAUCUGGCUCCAGCCCCACACCACAGGGCUCGGGCUUCUGCGAUUUAUUGUUUAUUGCCCACGUCCUGUCUGUGACAAAAUCUCAGCCUUAGUGAUUAUACAUUGUCUGGCUCUAAGUUUGAAGUCACAUUAUUUAAAUGGGUUAAGUUAUGAAGAAAUCCACAUUUCAAUGUACUGAAAAGUAUCUAUAGAGCAGGCAGAUUACUUAAAUUUAUAUUUAUAACAAAAAAGCACUUACAUUUGAAAGGAGCAUUAUAUCUAAAAAUAAGGCAAGAAUCUAUAUCUAUUUAUCUGCACACCCUCCUGAGUGCAUCACAAAGAUAUCAGCUACAGCAAUGAAAAUUCAAAUUAAAGCCUUCGCUUCCAUACUUAACACAAACACUCAUCUAGAAUUCCUGGGGAUGAAGAAGAAGAAUGGUGGUACAAAUGGAGAUGGGGAGGGUGAAGAGGAUAGAGACUAAGAGUACAUCUAGACCCGUGGCAUGGCUGCAGCUGGCCAGGGACAGUGGACUCAGUUUGUGGGGCUAUAAAAUUGCAGGGUAGACACUUGGGCCCGGGCUCAUUGGGUCUCAGAGCCUGGGCUCCAGCCUGAGCCCAAAUAUCUACACUGCAGCCAAAGCCCCACAAGCCUGAGUCAACUGACCCGGACUCCGAGUCCGCGGGUUUUUAAUUACAGUACAGAGACCCCCUAAGAGAGAACUCUGAAUUGCUUGGUUUGUCAGCUCCUGACAACUAUGUAAAUAUUGGAAAUGGUUUAAGAAACUAUUUAAUAACAUACUGCAGACCCCUUGCAACUGGACUCUUAGAAACACUCAGCACAGACUGGUCAAGUUAAGGCAUUUGGUCCUUCAGGGAAUACUACAUUUCCCACAAAUUCAGUGGGAAAACAGAAGCAGAAUUUGCUCUUUAGAGUUCCUUAAUUAAGCCCCAAGUCCCAAAAUUAAGCUAGCGUAACUUUAGACUGUAGCAUUUUUCUAGUCCAUUCAUAAAUACACAUUUAAAGGCAUGAUAAUGCCUUUCACAUUAUUUAAAUACAUCCCUCUUCAUUGUGCUACUUUUCUGUACCUCUAUCAAUGUAUAGGUACUUUUAAUAUAAAAACAGCUCUAAACAAUGAAUCAUGUUAUAAAAUAGAAAAACAUUACACUUGUUACUUAUUUGUCUUACAAGUGUGACAAGAUUGAGGCCUCAGCGUGCUAGGUGUAAAGAAAGACUGUCUUACCCUGAAGACUUACAGUCUAAAUAGGACGAGAGAGAGAAAGAAUGAUCCUCACUUUACAGCUCAGGAACAGACACACAGAGAGAUGGAAGGGAUUUGCCCAUGGUUUCACUGGCAGUCUGUGGCAGAGAUGGGAAUUGAAACCAGAUCUCUUGAUUCCCAAUCCAGUGCCUUAACUACACAAGGCCAUUGGCCUCAUGGAAAGCUCUCUAUUACUGUGCGUUUUUCAUUGAAUACCCACCUCUAAGGUAGAGGAGGUGUCAAUUGUAGAAUUUCCAGUAUUAUUGCUUGAGUUUGAAGAGACAGUCUCGUUUUUGCCUUCGGUAUCUGAUUUUUCAUCAGAGCUCAUGCACUCAAUAUCUGCAUCAAAGCCAGUUGGAUAGCCCAUUGCUUGUAAUACCUACACCAAACGACAUUAAAUGAGAUGUAAAACCAGUUUGGAAGCGAAUGCAAGGCUGAUUAUACAGCAGUAAAAAGGCCACACACACUUCAGGAGGUAACUCACUUUGAAGUUCACUUUUCACCAAGUUAAAUACAGCGAAAAAUCAAGUACUAAUGGGAAAAAGGGCCCUUGCCUUCUUAAGCUGCAAAAUAUAAUUGAGAGUUUCCAGUGUCAAAUGCACCAGCAAUUCAUAAAUACCAUUUUCCAAACUGAGGCUCCCAUGUAUAAUAUGGGAUUAAAAUUCAACCUAUAAAAUACAGGAUCUGUAUGCAAAGUAGUUAUUCACAAUUCCGGUUAGACCACUUCCACUCUGUACUACUACUUGACAGCAUGACCAAGACAUUCUGUUUUGCAUCUUAAGUUCCAUUGAGCUCAGCAUAUACAAGUCUGCAGAGCAAGGACAAGGCAGCUCAUAGGAACUAAGGCACCAGGCCAUCUGCAAUAUGGGAUGCUACACAUGUCGCAUCAAGCCCAGAUGUUAAUUGUUCAGUUUCCAAGGUGGCAGCAAAUGCAGGGGUUACCAUAUGCCUGGGUGUUCCCAGACAGGAUCUCUUUUUUGAGCCUGCUUUCUUCUCUGUCCAGGCGGGGUUUUCAAACAACAGGCAACGGCCUGGGUUUUUGCAGAGCAGACAAGCUGCAGCUCAGAAAGACUCCCGAUAGAUCCAUUCCCCUGCAAGUCACAGCUGCUGGAUCCCGCCCACCCAGGCCCCAACUCUCAGCCUUGGGGAAGGGAUCCUGCAGGGAGGUGCUGACAGAUGACUGUGGCUGCAUCCUGGGCUUGUGCCCUGGAUGCUGACUGAUGGCUGGGCCCUGCUAUUGUGACGGGGAACAACACUGCCCCCCACCUCCAGUGAGUACCCCCGCCACAGGUAUGCCCUCCAGCACCCCCGACUGUACUUCCCUCCCCCUGCAGUGUCCACUUUUGGGGAACCUGAAAUAUGGUAACCCGAAGCAAAUGGUAACAUGCAGCCUAAAGAGAAAAAUCUUGGCUAGAACGCAGCACUGCUGGAAUCUAGGACUGAAAAGGUCUCCCAUCUGCAGCUGCUCAAAGAACAUCAGCUGACAAACAUAACCAAAGACGCACGUCCCUCUCAGCGCUGUAGAGGUGGCCUGAACUGAGGUGUGCAUGGCAGUGAAGCAGUAAAGGAGACCCAGGCUAACGGACAUGUAAGGGAGUAAUUGGCUAUUUCAUCUGGACAUGAAUGUGAAGUACAUCAAACCUCCUGGGCUGUCACCAUGCUGCUCACAACCAGCCACUUUGUAGGAGAGAAGCACAGAACCUGAUUUUGUCACUGCCAAACAAACACUUUCCCCAAGGGGUCUCCAGAAGAGAUGGGGUACUCUCCCCCAUCAUGCACAAUGAUGCAGCAGGUCAGGCAGUUCUAUGACUGACUCCCUGAUCUGCCUAUGCAGAUGUGUUCAGUGGGCACAAAAUGUAGGUGUGAACUGACUCAGAGGCUAACCUGAGGCCCCCCCCCCGAAAGUUUGGUCUCAAAAGCAAAGCUUGCAGACAUGCCCACAGGUACCAAACACUGAACAUGGAACCGGGAACAGCGUAAGCAUUCUCCUCCAAUCAAGGGGCACGCAGCUCCAGCCCCCUUUUCCCCGCCCUGAUGGUUGGUAAGGGGCAGGUACCGCAGUCACAGACAGCUCUAUUCCUUCCCCCGUUUGGGGGUGCAACACCAUCACUUGCCAGUCAAAUGCAGCUGCAGAUUUAGAGCUUUAAGUAUCUAAACAGUGAACCCUAAAAAUGGAAACAUCCCAAUUUAGCCCUACAAUCUCCUGGUGUGCGAGCAAGCAGCGCGUGGGCUGCCAGGGAGCAGCAGUGCUGGCUCUGCAGGGCCGGCCUGCCAGCUGGUCCUCAGCUUGAAAGAGGGUGGUUCCAAAGCAUAGCCGGGGGGAGGGGGGUAAAUUUGGGGAAAAUGGGGCUGUACGAGGCUCCAGCCAGGAACCGGGAGCCACAGAGGGGCCCUGCAGGAGGAAGGCAGAGAUAAGAUCCUGCUUCUCAAGGCAGAAUUCUUAAUGGUAUUAAAAAAAAGACAAUUAUUGGGGCAAAAUGUAGGUGAGAGGAGGACGGGAUGGGAGGACAUAUACAAAGCCACAUCUCCUGCAGAAUGAUACAUUCUAUCAAAUACUUUUGGGCGCUCUGAGCAUGAAAGUAAAAGGGACAAUGGGAUUUUCAAACUCCUAAAUCAAAGGAAAAUGGAAAGUUGCCAGAUGAACCUUCUGAAAAGGAAGUUCACUCAAAAUACAUGAAAGGAAGCACAGAUAAUGACAGAUGGGUUUGUUCUUGCAGCUCUGCGCACUUAGAUUUUCAUUUUGUUUUUGCAGUUUACAGACAACUUUUCCUCCCUUCUCAGCAAGGCACACAGGGGAUAGGUCUGGUACAGCAGAGCCUGAUCUAUCUACGAAUUUACAUGGGGAUGACUGUGGUAGCCAUUUUUAUUUACUAGACACCAACUCAAGUCUCACUGUUUUACCAACUCCAGCUUUCUCCCACAGAGCCUCUGGAAAGGGGAACAAUGGGGUAUGGCUCAGGCUGCCUCAUACCAAUGGACCACAAUAAAACUGUGAUUCACCAUCCUCUAUUUACUGUAGCACCCAUGAUGUGCUAGGUGAUUUCCAAACACUCAAGAUGGGAUGGCUCCCUGCUCCAAGGAGCUCACAACCCAAGGAUAGCGACAGACAGGCAGAGGAUCCAGGGCUGGAAUUAUCAACUUAAUUCAUAUUCAGGUCUGCACCUCAGCCUUACCUUCACUGCCACAUGGAGCUUGGCCGUUUUCUUAGAAGGUCCUGAUGCUUCAUAGGUCGUACCGUCAACAUCUACAGACAUUGUGA